ACUUUAAGACAACUCACUAAAUUUUGUUUACAAAAUCAUUUAUAUCACAUCAACAGCAUCAGCUAAUUAAAGUUAACCCCACCCACCUUAUUCCUUAACGUUUGUUAACCCCGUCAAAAUCUGAAGAGCAAAUUCAAAAUUUAGAAUGGAAUUGGGUGGGUUAGUGAAUAGUGAACAUUUUCAAUCUCAAAACUCGCAUUCAAAUUUCGUUUUUCAUUGUUCAUCAAAACUUUACAAACCUGCUCUGUCUCCAGUCCACCUCUAGUCCUUCAGCUCUCAGAUAGCUCGCUUCAGGCUCAGGCUUGAUGAGAUCUCCAUCCUUCUCUUGGGAUGAUAAAGCCCCAGCUAAGCCACAUUGCUAAUGAAAGGUUUUGAAACAUUCAUGAUGGAUUGAAGUCAUGUAUCUUGAAGUUACCGAGACAAAUUUUUAGUUUUACUAAAGUUUUAGAUUUGAUACAAGUUAACUUCUUUUUAGUUUGAAACAAGUGACAUGUCAUGUACAUACUUUUGGAAUUUGGCUUAUAGAGAUCAUAAUAGCUCAUUGUUGUGCUUGAGAAAA